rnacentral:lncRNA from 1 species
AUUGUAUUGGGAUCUGUUAAUAUUGUUAUCCCCCUUGAAGGGACACUAUAAUCCUAUAGGGUAAAAAUUGUAACACCUUGGAUCUGCAGUGAAAGAAGGGAUGACAUAUGAACAACACAAAAAAAUAAGGAAAGGAAGUACCGUGAACAAACCAAGAUACUACAUUAUUAGAAUCCAUGGCCAGCACAGCAGAAGAAAUUACAGAGAAGGAGUUCAGGAUGCACAUAAUUAAAAUGUUCUGUGAAUUAAAGGAUGAUAUAAGAGAGCAAAUAUAGACACCAAAAGAUUAUUUUGAUAAAGAGCUACAUAAGCCAAAGAUUACUUCAAUAAGGAGAUAGAGGUUCUCAAAAAAAAAAAAAAAAAAAAAGAAAGAAAGAAAAGAAAACCUUGAAAUGAAGGAAACAAUAAACCAAAUUAAAAACUCAAUAGAAAGCACCACCAACACAUUAGAUCAUUUGGAAGACAGAACCUCAGACAAUGAAGACAAAAUAUAUAAUCUUGCAAAUAAAGUUGACCACACAGUGAAGAUGGUAAUAAAUCAUGAGCAUUUAAGAAUUAUGGGGUAGCAUAAUAAGACCAAAUUUAAGAAUUAUUAGGAUAGACAAAGGCAUAGAGUUACAAACCAAAGGGAUGAACAAUCUAUGCAAUGAAAUGAUACCAGAAAAAUUUCCAAACAUGAAGAAUGAAUUAAAAAAAUCAAAUACAAGAAUUUUACAGGACACCAAAUUUACAAAAUCACAACAGAUCUGCACCAAGGCACAUUAUAAUAAAAAUGCCUAGCAUACAGAAUAAGCAGAUAAUUUUAAAAGCCACAAGAGAAAGGAAUUAGAUCACAUAUAGUGGCAAACCAAUUAGGAUCUCUGUAGAUUUCUCAAUCCAGACCAUGAAAGCUAGAAGAUCCUGGAAUAACAUAUACCAAGUGUGAAAGAAAAUGGAUGCCAACUAAGACUCUCAUAUCCAACAAAAUUAUGCUUUAUAUGAUGACAAAAUAAAAACCUUCCAUGAUAAAUGAAAGUUAAAAGAAUUUAUACCUAGAAAGCCUGCAGUACAGAACAUCCU